GUGGGGAAUAUUGGGCAAUGGGGGCAACCCUGACCCAGCGACGCCGCGUGGGUGAAGAAAUCCCUCGGGAUGUAAAGCCCUGUUGUAUGGGAAGAGCAGAAGACGGUACCAUACGAGGAAGCCCCGGCAAACUACGUGCCAGCAGCCGCGGUAAUACGUAGGGGGCAAGCGUUGUCCGGAAUUACUGGGCGUAAAGCGCACGCAGGCUGAAUUAUAAGUCGGUAGUCAAAUACGGAGGCUCAACUUCCGGAUAUCUAUCGAUACUGUAAAUCUAGAGUAUGUGAGAGGGAAGCGGAAUUCCCGGUUUAGCGGUGAAAUGCGUAGAUAUCGGGAGGAACACCAGUGGCGAAGGCGGCUUCCUGGCACAAUACUGACGCUCAUGUGCGAAAGCUAGGGCAGCGAACGGGAUUAGAAACCCUUGUAGUCC
rnacentral:rRNA from 1 species